UACGGGGGGGGCAAGCGUUGUUCGGAAUUACUGGGCGUAAAGGGCUCGUAGGCGGCCAACUAAGUCAGACGUGAAAUCCCUCGGCUUAACCGGGGAACUGCCUCUGAUACUGGAUGGCUUGAGAUUGGGAGAGGGAUGCGGAAUUCCAGGUGUAGCGGUGAAAUGCGUAGAUAUCUGGAGGAACACCUGCGGUGUAGACGGCUUUCUGGACCAUUACUGACACUGAGACACGAAAGCGUGGGUAGCAAACAGG
rnacentral:rRNA from 1 species